GGGCGGGUGGUGAAAUGGCAGACACGCUUGCCUUAGGAGCAAGUGCCGCAAGGCAUGGAGGUUCAAGUCCUCUCCCGCCCA
rnacentral:tRNA from 1 species